rnacentral:lncRNA from 10 species
UUGUUUCAAUGGCUUUUAAAUUUGGCAAGUACUGCUACACUUUCCCGAAGUGACAGUGGGCCCUCGCAGCAACCCUCCUACCUGUACCCUCAGAAGUGAUACUUACAUAGCCCAGGUGAGCCAUUAGGAGCCACAGCAGUUCUUUUGUGACCGUGAGGGAAACCUGAAGCCAGAAGCCAAGUCAAAGUAUAGCAGAACCUCAAGACCAAAGGGGCCAUGAACAUUGGUGAUGUUGUGGAGCCACCAGAAUAACCCUGUUCUUUGUGAACUUCUUUCAGAUGAAGGAAAAUAAAUCCUGAUAUUGUUUAAG